UACGUAGGGUGCAAGCGUUGUCCGGAUUUAUUGGGUUUAAAGGGUGCGUAGGCGGCCCUGUAAGUCAGUGGUGAAAUUCUUGAGCUUAACUGAAGGAUUGCCAUUGAUACUGUAGGGCUUGAGUACAGAUGAGGUAGGCGGAAUUGAUGGUGUAGCGGUGAAAUGCAUAGAUACCAUCAAGAACACCGAUUGCGAAGGCAGCUUACUAAGCUGUAACUGACGCUGAUGCACGAAAGCGUGGGGAUCGAACAGG
rnacentral:rRNA from 1 species